AUUUGGACACUUACUAACGGAAUAGGAUAACUUUGUACAUUUAAUGAUAGCUAUACACAGCAGAAUAAGCACUUUGGAAACAUUUGGAUUUUGGCAAUUUAAAUUGAUAUGCUUAUUAUUCAUAUUUAUGAUAUAGAAUCAGAUGCUGUUUAUUAAAUAUUGCAAUUAUAGUGUGACGCUUAUUGUUAAACAGUCCUUCAGUUGACAGUCGAGCCAUUGAUUCUUAGACAAUUUAUUCUCAAACCUUUUCAUGUUAAGGAACCCCAGAUUGAUAUCUAACAAGCUGUGGACCCCCAUUUGAUGAGAUUUUUGUCCCAGGGACCCUUAUUGAGGAGGGACCCUCUUGAACCCCCUCAAGGACUCCUGGGUGUCUCCGGACCCCACUUUGAGAACCAAAGACUUAGACCAAUCUAAAUCACCUUUGAGGCCAGUCAGCUCAUUUUUGCUUGUUUAAUAUUCCAGAGGGAGGUUCAACAUUUGACUUGUGGUUCCAACAAAUCCCUCCUAGAGGUGUAAUCCACAUCAGUGAAGGAGGAGGCCAUGUAAGGGGGCAGAAUGCUGUGCACAGGUAAGGUGUUAUAAAGUAUGACCCAAGCUGUCCAAGCAUAUUGGAGCAGUGAGCUAAACUUAAUUUUGUUGGCAGAUGAAAGUGCUCAGAGAGAAAAUAUGAAUGUGUUGUUAGUCUUACCUCAUGAAUACUUUCAUGCGAAACACAGUAAUGAUUGUACAACGUGCAGUGCAUUAAAAAGAUCCAAUUUUAGCUCACUCUCUCCAUACAUUAUAAUUAUGCUUCUCACUUUAAGAAGUGGAUUUUCCCCUUCCCUUUCGUUUUUUACUUUUAGACCCUUCCCUUUUGGCAUUAUAUACAACAGAAGGGUAUUGUUGACUGGAGUAGAGUCAUAUCAUUUAAAUGAAUCAUUCUUUCUCUUGAUAAAAUCUAUAGGAAAAAUACAGUGUGCACAACUCAAGAGUCCAAGCACAUGGUUCCAUUGUUGGCCAAGUAUCUGAACCUGAUCAGAUGAGGAUAUGACAAGUUUCCAGCUUUUUAGUAUUGUGUCAGUACCUCUAUUUUUGGAUGAUAUAAUCAGACAUUUACACAACCUGAUUAAUUUCACUGUAUGCAAUCUCCACUCAGUUCGGCUCUUACACCUGCACCAUCCAGGGCACCGAAGUACACCCCCAUUCAUUAAUAUGGGGGGUGUGGUUCAGUAGACAAUAAUUCCUACAUGAAACUGCUCACAACAAGGCCUGUAGCUUAUCUUGAAUGACUAGGUCAUGAUUUUUGUAAAGAGAUAAUGCUUUUGACGUUUUCAAAUGUAUUUCUUUGAGCGCCACAAGUGCCAUUCAGCUCCAUUGUAUUGGAGUGACCGCAGAUAUCUCUACGACAGAUAUCUCUACGACAGAUAUCUCCAAAACUAAGCAAAUCACACCGAAAUGAUCUGGAUGGAUAGAUAGCACUCUGGGUAAGGAGAAAAAUAUACUCUUUUGACUUUUGGGUGAACUGCCCCUUUAAGGUGAAAUGAAAAGGCCUGCACGAUGGAUCAAGUAAAGGACUAUGGUUUACGCUCAAAUGAUUGGUAAAGUGUUAUUAUAAAGCAUACUUCUCCUAUAUUUUACUUGCCAUGAAUAAUAAAAUAAAGCAAAGGCAAAACAAA